GCAUGUUUCAGUGCUUUCCUGGCAGAACAUAUGACACUUUGUACUGUCUACUUUCAACUGUCUUUUUCUGGGAUGUUGAAAUCAAUUCAAUAGCUUCUGUCGCAUCAUCCAUUAAAAGUUUGAUUAAAGAGAGAGGUUGACGCAGCAAUUUUUUUCAUGCGCUCUCAAGUAGACUUUCCUCUGGUAUUUAUUUACCAUUGAUGAUAACAGUUAAUGUAUACUGGCUUACUUUUGCUGGACCACAGGAGGAGUACCUGCUAUUUUGGCAGUAGCUAAUGGGGAUUCAUAAUAAAUGCAAAUAACACAUAAUCACUCUGGACAGACACAAGCAAAAACUCAUUCCAUAAAUGCAGCAGCCUAGGCUACGCCUAAAUAUUAGAGCUCUGACAUGCGGUACAGGAUGAAAACGAGACAAUUUUUCAGUCUGAUCAACUGUAGGCUACUAAUAAGAGCAGCUGCAUACAGCCUAUGUGCACUGUCCAUCUGGUCAGGGUAAACUAAUUGGUAACGUUAUUUAUUUAUAUUCAAUUUGUGUGUCAGGAGAAAAUGUGAAUGUGAUCAAAUGUGGUUUAUAUUUGAAAUUGGGCUGGCUAGGCUGCCUAUACGUUUUCAAUCCAAAAUUAUUAACUGGAAUUAAUCAAUCAACAUAUUAGUGAUGACAGAUGUGAGUUAAUUUUAAUUAAGUCCUACAGUUGUACAGGCAUGCAUGAUGCAAACAUGCAUAAAGCUAUCACAACCCAGUGAGUUCUAUAGUAGUCUAUCAGUUGGCUCUGUGUUUGGGUAGAGGAAAUCCCCCCCCUAAUCUAGUCUAAAUAUAAUUCAUAUGAACAAGUAUAAGGUUGCUGCAGUUUGACAGGGUUUUCACCUACUACACCCCCCCCAGGGCUAGGAGUUGUUUUUUUAACCAUGUGACCUGAUUUGGAAAACCGGUCCCAUCAUAGCCCUUAUAAAACCUUUUUACGAGUGAUUAAACACUGUUAUACCUUAUAGGGUCCAGAGUUAUCCCGGUUAGAUUAACAUAUGCCCCCUCCACCAAUCUGGGACCUAUGGUGCCACCAGUCCGCUUGCAGUUGUCAGUUAUCGUCAGGAAUGUGGAUGAUCAGGAAUUAAUUCAGAAACAUUUCUUUGGCUACUUUGAUGUUUCAAAUGGGCGAGAUGCACAGUCUGUGUUUAACUUCAUGGACAAACUUGUUGUUCAAACCUACGAUGGCACAGUUGUAAUGGAAUGUAUCUGCUAUUUGUAUUUACAGCUAAGUCCCCUCCUGUUCCCUUAUUAAGAGGUGAUGACAACUCCACUCCACUACCAUUGUCAACUCUCUCCUGACAUGAACUGAAACCACGUAUCAUGUGCCCGCUCAUCUACUGGCACAUUGAAUGUUUCCUUAUCAAUUUUCUCUCAUUACUGUAUGUAGAGUCAAUCACACACACAACCAUAAUCACACUAUUACACAUCAAUGAUUUUACUCCUUGCUUGGACUAACUCAUUCUUAGGUCUUUUGUAUAACUGUGUAGUGUGUUGUGUUAUUGUUUUGUGUCUUUCCAGUCAAAUCCUAUCCUGCACUAAAGUCAAGCCUCUGAACACCUCAGCUCAUGCCACAUACCCUCAUUCAAUCACUGCUGUGAUUUCUUCCCAACACUGUAAGUAGCCCUCUCAUUCCCAUUGUACUAUACAUGUCUUUAUUAAAUGCUCUCUUUCUCUCUCCCUCUCACUCUACCCCUCUCUCUCCCUCCAUUCCUCUCUCUCACAAGCACAUUAUCUCACUCCCCUUGUUUUUGUUCUACUCAUCUUUUGUUGUUCUCCCCCUCUUUCCUUCUCCUCUUCUCCUCACCAGAGAUAAACCUUUAGAUCUCAUUUAACGGUGAACUCCUGUCGUCUGGGGGAUUCAUCAGUUUAAACAGGUUCAGGGUUGGGUUAUUAAUUCAUGUUGCUUGUGCAUGUAUCUGUGUGUUGUCUAGAUGGAGACAGAUGUAGAGUGGGUGGUGGAGGGGUUAGAGGUUGAGCAGGAGGAUGUGUGUGCCAUGGUGUUUCUCCCUGGCUGUUUGGCCUUGGCCUUGACUGAGGGAUUGUAACUAAAUCUAGUCUGUAACCGGUAUGUCCUGACCCAAAUCCCUGCUGCUUCACAAGGAAUGUUUCAUCACGGUGGUUACCGGGAAACCACAUGCUGUUCACUACAACGCUCCACUAUAGCGUCACAGUGUGAAUGUCUGCUUUGUUUUCAUCUGUUUGUGCAUGGGUGAGAAGUGUGUGUGUGUGUGUGUGUGGUGUGUGUACGUGCGUAUGUUUGUGUGCGUGCGUAAGUAUCUGUUAACAGUGCCUGCAAUGUGAAACCUCCCACGUCUUUGAAUAUACCUUGGCAGAGGUUGCAACACUUGGAGUCAAUGAAACGGCAAUAGGAGAUAAGUGGUAUUGAAUAGGAGAGGAAGGAGAGGUGGGAGGGAGGGAGUCUGUAAGGGUAGAUUAACCCUACUAAUGAUUUAUUCACCUGCUUCCGCAGAAGUAUUACACUGGGCCACUGGAACAGAACAGGGCUGGAGCAAAGACACAUUUGGCAUUUCCAUACUCCCAUAUUCAUCCCAGCGAGAGGAGGGGUUGUAUUUUACUCUGUGUCUCUGUCUGUCUGUGUCUGUGUCUCGCUCUCUCUCCCCCAAUAGUUUUAUAUGCUUCUCAAUAAGGGGUAAAUAACGCUUCUCAAAAAGGGAAAUUGCUACUCCUCUCUGCUUUCUUCUGUGGUACUGAGUGUUGUUUGGGGGGAGGGGGGGGGUGUAAAACAAAUAUUAUGUUAAGAUCCUUGUUUGUGUCACCUGUCUUCAUGACACCUUGAUUGCAUUGUUUUCCACACCACAAAGCUAUUGUUUUAAUCAUGAGAGAAGUAAGAAUAAUCCUGCACAUUGUAUUUUUUUGACUGUUACUCCUCAUCUCUUAUAACCGGUAAUUAGGUACUAUCUAUGGUGUUUAACUUAUGACUAAUGUAAUAAGCACUGUGCAUUUCUGUAUGUAGCUUCUGCCUCUGUACUGUACAUAUCAAAUUCUACUACCAGCAGUACGACACCUGCACCUGUCGAUGACAUAAGUUGUUCUGCUUCCACGAGCACAUCCAAUGCUAGCAUCAGUAAUUCUACAUUUGCUUUUAGCCCAGCUAGCAUGGACACUGACAGUGGUGAAUCUGAUGCAGCCGAAGAGCUACUGCCCCCUUAACUGAGAAAGUACCGAACAACAGACAGGGACGUUGGACCAUCGAAGAGGUGCCAAUAUGAUGAGAACCACAUUGAUUUGGGGUUCACUUAUAUUGGGAUUUUUGCCUUUACUCAGCCACCGUGUGUUAUAUGUGAAAAACUCCAUGAAACCUUCACUCUUGCGCAGACAUUUAGAAACAAAACAAGGGAGUUUUUGAAGAGGGAAUUAAGACGACUUUUGAGUAGUAAGACAUGUAUAAAGCAACAGAUACCAUUAAUAUGAAGGGGCUAGAGGCAUCUUAUAUGGUGAGCUACCGAGUGGCUAGGACAAUUAAGCCCCAUACUAUUGUGUAGGAGGUAAUUACUCCUGCUGCCGCGGAUAAGCCUGUCACAAUGCUUGGGGGAAAAGGCCCAACAAGCUAUACAGUCAAUGUCUUCAUCAAACAACAGUUUCAUGACACAUCAGUGACAGUAAAGUACUGAACAGCUUUGUGACAUCAAAGUGACUUAGGUGGUCAAGGUGUGUUGGUAUAUGUACUGAUGGCACAAAAGCCAUGACAGGGAGACAUAGUAGAGUGGUAACACGCAUACAAUCAGUUUCUCCUGAUGCCACUUAGGUACAAUGCAGCAUCCAACAAGAGGCUCUUGCUGCCAAAAGAAUGCCUGACAGCUUGAAAUACUUUUUGGACACUACAGCGGAAAUGGUUAACUUUAUUUAAGCAAGGCCCCUGAACUCUUAUAUAUUUUCUGCACUAUGCAAUGAUAUGGGCAGCGACCAUGUACUGCUUUUACAACAUACAGAAGUGCACUGGUUAUCAAGGGGCAAAGUAUUGACCUAUCUUUUUGAAUUGAGAGACGAGCUUAAAGUUGUCUUUACUGACCAUAAUUGUUACUUGUCUGACCGCUUGCAUGAUGACGGGUUUCUCACAUGACAGGCAUAUCUGGGUGAAGUUUUGUCACCUGAAUGAUCUGAAUCUAGGAUUAGAGGGACUCUGCAAAUAUAUUCAAUGUGCGGGACAAAAUUGAGGCUAUGAUUAAGAAGUUGAAGCUCUUCUCUGUCUGCAUUAACACACAGGUUUUUCCAUCCUUGUAUGAUAUUUUGUGUGCAUAUGAACUCAAGCUUAUGGACAAUGUCAAAUGUGAUAUUGCGAAGCACCUGGGUGAGUUGGGUGAGUAAUUAUGCAGGUACUUUUCCGAAACGGAUGACACAAACAACUGGAUUCGUUAUCCCUUUCAUACCCUGCCUCCAGUCCAUUUACCGAUAUCUGAACAAACGAGCCUCAUCAAAAUUUCAAUAAGCGGUUCUGUGAAAAUGUAAUUUAAUCAGAUGCCACUGACAUAUUUGGAUUGGACUGCUCUCAGAGUAUCCUCCCUUAGCAAAUCUCGCUGUUAAGACACUGAUGCCCUUUGCAACCACGUACCAAUGUGAGAGUGGAUUCUUCGCCCUCACAAACAUGACAACUAAAUACAGGCACAGACUGUGUGGAAAAUGAUUUAAACCUUGUGUUGUCUUUGUCACGCCCUGAUCUGUUUCACCUGUCCUUGUGAUUGUCUCCACCCCCCUCCGGGUGUCGCCCAAAUUCCCCAUUAUCCCAUGUAUUUUUACCCGUGUUUUCUGUCUGUCUGUGCCAGUUCGUCUUGUUUAUUCGAGUCAAACCGCGUUUUGUGUUCUCAGAUCCUGCUUUUUCCCGUCUCUCUUUUCUUGCCCUCCUGGUUUUGACCCUUGCCUGUCCGGACUCUGAGCCUGCCUGCCUGACCACUCUGCCUGUCCCUGACCCUGCCUGCCGAUCUGUACCUCUGCCCCCUCUGGAUUACCGACCUCUGCCUACCCUGAGCCUGCCUGCAGUCCUGUACCUUUGCUCCCAUACUUGGAUUAUCGACCCCUGACAGCCUUGACCUGUCUUUCACUGCCCCUGUUCUUACAAUAAACAUUAUUACUUUGACAGUCUGCAUCUGCGUCUUACCUUGGUUCUGAUAGUAUUAAGGGUAAAAAAAAACUCAGAGAAAACCCCCUAAAUCAUUUACUACACACCCGCCCACAAUAAGAAAUUGAGAUUAUGUGUGCUACUGAUUGAACUCAGCCAGCUGCUUCUGAAGAGGAAGAUCACCAUGGUUGGCACAGUUAGAAAUAACAACCCUGAGCUCCCCCCUGCACUCUUCGCAACAAGGGGGAGAGAGGCCUUCUCUUCAAAGUUCUCAUCAAAGUCACCCCCACCACUACUCUAGUUUCUUACCUCCCAAAGAGGAAGAAGAAUGUGGUCCUCCUGAGCACACUGCGCAAAAUGGCUGAGAUCAGUGAUCGUGAAGACAGGAAGCCAGCCAUCAACCUGGACUACUACCACAACAAAGGCGGUGUGGACAACCUGGACAAGGUGAUUGGAACUUGGUGGAUGACUGCCGGCUGGCCCCUGGUCAUCUUCCAUACCAUCAUUAAUGUGUCCUCAUACAAUGCCUUCGUGAUAUGGAACAAGAUCAACCCUACCUGUACAGCAGGGUUUCUGUACAGCACUUUGAGAUAUCAGCUGAUGUACGAAGGGCUAUAUAAAUAAAUUUGAUUUGAUUUGAUUUGAUACCUGGAUGCCUGUUAAGCAGAACAUGGGAGUGUUCCUGGAGCAGCUGGGAAAGGCACUUGUAACCCCACACAUUCAAAGAAGGGAGUGCCUCCCCUGCACAGAAGCCUCUGCAGCACUUGUGAAAGCUGUUCAAGGGGCUGAAUCUUGUCCUGAUCCACCUGAGCCUGGGGCAGGCAAGAGGAGGAGAUGCCAAUUAUGCCCCCCAAAGAAGGACUGUAAAACAAAAACUAUGUGCUGCACAUGUGAGAAAUACAUCUUCAAAGUCCAUGCACACACACUUGCAUAACUGUCCUACAUGUGCUAAUUAGAGUUAAUUGAUUUGUUCUUCAUGUUUUUGUUUCGUAUCGAUUAUCUUAUUCCUACUUAUUGUUGUUGUUUAUACACAUUGUGGGUGGGGGCAAAGGUAAAAAAAAAUGGGAGAAGACUAGUAUUUUUUUUAGUUGAAUUACUCAUUGUACACUAUAUAAGAAUAUAUCACUUUGUUGCCAAAAGAGUUCAAGACUGUUAUUGUUUCCCUUCAAUAAAAUGUAUUCAAAACUGCUUUCUGCACAUUUCUGCUACUCUCUUAGGCUACACAAGUGCUAUCUCUUGCUAAAAAAAACGUUUACACCUAUGCAGUACCUUUAGCAAUAAUAAUACUAAUAAACCUCUACUUUAGUAAAGAAAACAAUUGUGGCAGGUGUGUUGUAAUAAAAACUAAUGGUGUCCUCUGAUUAAAUGCAGUCUUCAUGCAUUGUGAAGAUGUAAAACCCAGAUAUUCACAAAGUUUGUGAUGAAUGACAUGUUUCGUCGUGCAAAUUUUUUGGGGGGUUUCAAAUUCAAUGAAACUGCUUUAUUUUAGGGGUUUAGUGAAUGCGGGUCAUCUUUUACCCUUAGGACAACGGGAGGAUACAGAAUGUUAAUACUACACAAGGGUUAAGACUGAGACUCUCUCCAAUACAACCCAACAUUACAGACUGUGAACCUGGCUGGCCUCGUUUAGCUGUGAGAGGUGGAUGACUCCCCUAUUAUCUCUCCCCUGAGAUAACACCGUUAAAGAUACCCACUUUCACUAAACGCAUGGGAGGAUACUUUGUUGUUCCCUUCGCUGGGAAGGCCAUCACAUGUAUUGCGACAAAGCGAAAAUUCCCAAAACCUCUGAAAUAAUGGCAGACUGAAGGCCCCGCUUGGGAGAAAAUGAUCCAGGGGAAUAAGGAAUAACAUUGUGAAAUAUAAGUAUUACAUUUAUUUAUUUCACCAAAUGUUGUUAAAAUGUUUGACAAAUUACUUUCAUAUGAAUUUUAAAUUCAGAUCAGACCACUAGCUAGUCGAUUUCAUCCUGGUUAUCAGCUGUUUAGCGAUAAACAACUAAACAAACUAAUCGUAAAAUUGUGAAGACCCGUACAGUUUUUUAAUCCUGAAUUGGUGAACUUGCUAGCCAGCUGGUGACAAAUGUAGCAAAUCUUUAUUUAAUUUUUGGGGGGCAGAUGGAAACUGAUGCGUUCAUUUCGCUCCCUGACAUUGGCAGGACAAAAUAGUUGUGGCCGACUGGUUUUGAGGCAAGACAACAUCUGAGUAAAAUGUAGGAAAUGCAGCUGUGUUCUGUUCAAUCUAGGCUUGCUACCCAGCCAAGUUAUUUGGGCAUUCUUAAAUGAUCAGUCAAUACAUGCAUGCAGUGUCUGUUUACCUAACAUUAGCUAACUUUUAUCUUGUCACUUUCCUCUCUUGUUUCACCAUUGCAUAUAAAAGAAAAUGUGUUGAAUAUUGAAACGAUCAAUUAAAAGUAAAUUGCUG
ensembl:lncRNA